ACAAUACUGUUCGCCAGAGAACUACAAGCAAAAAACUAGAAACUCUAAGGACUUGGCGGUGCUCCAUAUCAACCUAGAGGAGCCUGUCCUAUAAUCGAUACCCCACGCUAAACCUUACCAUCUUUUGCCACCCAGCCUAUAUACCGCCGUCGUCAGCUUACCUUGUGAAAGAAGAAUAGUAGGCAAAACAGCUAACAGCUAACACGUCAGGUCAAGGUGUAGCACAUAAGAUGGAAGAGAUGGGCUACAUUUUCUGCCACAGAACAAACGAACGCUACAAUGAAACAUGUACCUAAAGGUGGAUUUAGUAGUAAGAUAAAAAAGCAACACUAUCUUAAACAUGCUCUGGAGCGCGCACACACCG
rnacentral:rRNA from 1 species